rnacentral:rRNA from 1 species
AUUGAACGCUGGCGGCAGGCCUAACACAUGCAAGUCGAACGAGUGGCGGACGGGUGAGUAAUGUCUGGGAAACUGCCCGAUGGAGGGGGAUAACUAAUGGAAACGGUAGCUAAUACCGCAUACCAUCGGAUGUGCCCAGAUGGGAUUAGCUAGUAGGUGGGGUAACGGCUCACCUAGGCGACGAUCCCUAGCUGGUCUGAGAGGAUGACCACCCACACUGUAACGGAGCAACGGUCCAGACUCCUACGGGAGGCAUCAGAGGGGAAUAUUGCACAAGGGGCGCAAGCCUGAUGCCGCCAUGCCGCUUGGAUGAAGAAGGCCUUCGGGUUGCAAAGUACUUUCAGCGAGGAGGCGUUACUCGCAGAAGAAGCACCGGCUAACUCCGUGCCAGCAGCCGCGGUAAUUC